AUUGUUUGAACCACUUCAGAAGCUCGACGUCAGCUAUUCACCUUAGGAGCAUUGGUGGUCCCAUUGAGUUUCACCCAAACCAACAACAAUGGGAUGGACUCUACAUUUAGCCCUGUCGGCCGCCAUCGUCACCGCCGUCUUGGCCACGUGUCCCUCCUCCGAAUGGAAGCAGUUCCGGGACACGUGCUACUGGAGGUCGGAUGUUCAACACAGUUGGCAAGACGCUGUAAAUAGGUGUCCAAUCACUUUGCCCGGCUCCACCAUCAUCUCGAUUCAUGGCCAGGACCUGAACACCUUCAUCGCUGAGGAUCUUCUCCAGGGCUAUUACGCCUGGCUGGGAUUGGACAGGACUUCUCCCUCGGCACCAUGGGUCUGGACGGACGGAUCGGCGUUCAACUAUAGCAACUUUUACGACGGCAUUGAUAAUUGUGAUGAAAGUCAUUGUUGCACAAUGAUCAACCAUAAUACGCAACGGGGUAGUUGGUUUGGUCACAACUGUGGUAUUCGCUAUUACUUCGUGUGUCAGAUUGAAGCGUCAUAAAUUCUAGGUAGCCGUUAACAAGUUGAAAACAACGCCGCUUGCGGCUUUUUGAUGGCCCGAUUUUCUAUUUUCGAUGUCGCUCAAAUGUUCGGAAUUGUUUGAAACAUGUGUUUUAGAAAGGGCAAAUUGAUAUUUAAUAUCAGCGUGUUACAUUA